AUCAUAUAUGUUCUUUUCCCAGGUUGCUUCUAUGUGAUCCUCCUCUUUCAUGGUAGACUCUGAUGGAGAAGCAAGCAGUCAUGAUGGCAUCAAGAGAUCCUACAGUCUUAGGUUGCUUCUACACCGUCCUCCUCUUUCGUGGCAGACAAAUUGAGAAACAGACAGUUAUGAUGAUGUUAAGGGAUCCUGAAAUCUUAGUGAACCGGCAUGGCAGUAAAGCAGCGCUUGGCAUUGAUUCAGCAUGGCAGUAAAUUAGCUAUCUGACCAGGAAAUCUAACUCCUCUUUUGUGACAGACUCUGAUGGAGAAACAAACAGUCGUAAUGUGUCAAGAGAUCCUGAAGUCUUAGUUAAUGUAGGUAAUAUGUCAUCUGUACAAGAUAAAUCAUAUCAAAAGAUAUAUGAUUAAAAGCUCAGAACCUGAAUGAGCAUAGAAAGUUGAUGCAGUGCCUUGCAUUAGAUUUUGCCUUUUUUCAGAAGCUUUAUUAUUGUUUUAUGUUAUGUUCAAGCAAUGAAAAGUUUAUCAUAAUUCCCUGUAUCCAUUUCCAGUUAUCAGUUACUUUGUUAUUAAUCUUCUAACACACUUUAAAAAUAUUAUGAAAUAUUUAUUGUAACUAGUUUAUCCUCUUUUACAGUGAUAGAUACACAAUAGAUCAGGUUUUCCAUUGUGUUGCAAGACUUAAAUAUGAUAGAUCAAGACUUUGUUACAAAUAUUACAAGGAGUAUAGAGAUGCAGUAUGAAAUGCUCUGU